rnacentral:tRNA from 1 species
UGCGGAGUCGUCUAACGGUAGGACAAUGGUCUUUGGCACCAUUUAUCUUGGUUCGAAUCCAGGCUCCGCAG